rnacentral:lncRNA from 1 species
ACAUAAACCUUGUUUAUUCUUAUUACAACCAUAAACCUAUUCACAUAAUGACAAAUGUAACACUUAAACCAUGUUCAUUCCAUGACCAAAUGACUUGACUUAUACAAUAGAUAAACCAUGUUCAUUUCAUUACAACCAAAACCAAAUACAAGACCUAAUUCCACAAUCCAAAUGUCAUUAACCAUUCAAAUUUCCAUUACAUUAAACAUUCAAAAUUCCAUGUACAUCACAAAUUCAUACAAGUCAAAAUUCUAAUACAAGCAACCAAUACAAAUACAUUCCAUAUACAAAUUCCAAGCAUAGAAGUCAAUUCCACAUGGCCUAUGAUUCACAUUUCCAAGGACCUACAUUUUCACAAAAAAAAGAUUCACUUGCAUUUUCAGGAUCAUUUAAUACACAGCCAAAACAACUUAAAAUAAAGGCCCAAUCAUAACAUUGCCCCUACAAAAUUCGAUUACAGUGAAAAAUGAUACAAUCGGAAUUUUUUGAUAACCAAGUUCCAACUGCAUAUUUGAUUUCCACCCGUGUGCUUUGAACACAAUAUUCCAAGCAACUCAAUUGCAACAUGUCCAAACAUUCAACCUACAAUACACAUAACAGAGUAAACACAGUAAUACCAUUCAACUGCAAAUACAAAUCCAACUUGCAUUUCUCAUAAAAUGACUCCCUUACAUUUCAUAACAAGGCACAAAUAAUUUUCAUCUGCAGAGUUACCAAACAGAAAAAAGCACAAGUCCAACUUAUACAUUUACUAAUUCAUUUCACUCUACUAACAGAACCCUCCAAUCUCAAUUCAAACCAUAACAACUAAUCCACUUCAUUCUUCACCAAAACUAACUCCACUCUAAUUUCAUAACUAACGGAAUCAAAUCAAUUCACAACUAGAUCCACUUCAGUUAACUGAUUCUUCACACUAACAGAAUUGUUCACUCUAACUUCAAUUCUCUUCUAGAUUAACUUCAUAACUAACAAACGUCGCCCUAACUAACAUUUAACCAAUUUCUAACAGUUAACUAACUGUCAACAAGCGUUCAACAAUAUUGCAAGAUCAAACACCUAUAAAUAAGUUCACCCAACAACUUCAACGAAGUUCACGAUUUCAUUUCAUUCUUUCAAUUUGCAAAACUCUAAGAAUCUCUCAAAUUUUCACUCUCCAGAAAUUCUCAACCAUUCACUCCUCAAAUCCCAUGGUUCACUCAUCCCAACUCAGACACUCGCUUUUCAGAAUCUCUCAUUCAUUCUCAACCUCGCUCUCUAAAUUCAACUCUGAAAAGAGAACAAUGACGCAAGAACACUCGCUUUUCAGAAUCUC